rnacentral:rRNA from 1 species
AUACGUAGGGUGCGAGCGUUGUCCGGAAUUACUGGGCGUAAAGAGCUCGUAGGUGGUUUGUCGCGUCGUCUGUGAAAUUCCGGGGCUUAACUCCGGGCGUGCAGGCGAUACGGGCAUAACUUGAGUACUGUAGGGGAGACUGGAACUCCUGGUGUAGCGGUGAAAUGCGCAGAUAUCAGGAGGAACACCGGUGGCGAAGGCGGGUCUCUGGGCAGUAACUGACGCUGAGGAGCGAAAGCAUGGGUAGCGAACAGGAUUAGAUACCCUGGUAGUCCAUGCCGUAAACGGUGGGCGCUAGGUGUAGGGGUCUUCCACGACUUCUGUGCUGUAGCUAACGCAUUAAGCGCCCCGCCUGGGGAGUACGGCCGCAAGGCUAAAACUCAAAUGAAUUGACGGGG